UACAGAGGGUGCAAGCGUUAAUCGGAAUUACUGGGCGUAAAGCGAGCGUAGGCGGCUUGAUAAGUCAGAUGCGAAAUCCCCGGGCUUAACCUGGAAACUGCAUCUGAUACUGUCAGGCUAGAGUAGGUGAGAGGAAGGUAGAAUUCCAGGUGUAGCGGUGAAAUGCGUAGAGAUCUGGAGGAAUACCGAUGGCGAAGGCAGCCUUCUGGCAUCAUACUGACACUGAGGCUCGAAAGCGUGGGUAGCAAACAGG
rnacentral:rRNA from 1 species